UGGGCCUGUAGCUUAGUCCGGUUAGAGCGCUCGGCUCAUAACCGAGUGGUCGCCGGUUCAAAUCCGGCCAGGCCCAUCC
rnacentral:tRNA from 2 species